rnacentral:rRNA from 1 species
GACGAACGCUGGCGGCGUGCUUAACACAUGCAAGUCGAACGGAAAGGCCCCUUCGGGGGUACUCGAGUGGCGAACAGGUGAGUAACACGUGAGUAACCUGCCCUUGACUUCGGGAUAACUUCAGGAAACUGGGGCUAAUACCGGCUAGGAAUCCUUGCUGCAUGGUGGGGGUUGGAAAGCUUCGGCGGUUUUGGAUGGACUCGCGGCUUAUCAGCUUGUUGGUGGGGUAGUGGCUUACCAAGGCUUUGACGGGUAGCCGGCCUGGGAGGGCGACCGGCCACAUUGGGACUGGGAUACGGCCCAGACUCCUACGGGGGGCAGCAGUGGGGAAUAUUGCACAAUGGGCGGAAGCCUGAUGCAGCAACGGCGCGGGGGGGAUGACGGCCUUCGGGUUGUAAACCGCUUUCAGCAGGGGCGAAGCUUGUGGUGACGGUACCUGCAGAAGAAGCACCGGCUAACUACGUG